rnacentral:piRNA from 1 species
UGAGAAAUGGGAGAGUAUAAGAGCAG